UUCACUUUUGUUGCGUCAGCCUGAUUUGUACGUGACAUAGGCAACCGCAUGUAGCCGCUACGGAAAUGUGAAUUUUCUGAUGGAAAAAGCUGAAGACACAUUAGACUUUCAUAGGUAGAUUUCUAAUAUAUUUCAUAAUGUAAUCUAAUCUUAGGCUAUUAUUUUUAUUCAAUGAUAUUAAGGGAUUUUAAGCUUAUCUAUUUCAUUUGGCGCUAUUUUAAUUGGUUAUUCGCGUUUGGUGACCACUACAGAAGGCAACAUUCACAUCCACCAUUUUGGAACGAACGUUGUGAGUAGUGACUGCUGCAGUCCUCAGCUGCCACAGAAUUGAACCAAAACCUACUGAAAAUCAAACUUUACAGUCAAUUAGAAGAACAAUUCACACUAAUAAACAUUUUACUCAAACUU